rnacentral:rRNA from 1 species
UACGUAGGGGGCUAGCGUUGUCCGGAAUCAUUGGGCGUAAAGAGCUCGUAGGCGGCCUGUCACGUCGACUGUGAAAACCCGAGGCUCAACCUCGGGCCUGCAGUCGAUACGGGCAGGCUAGAGUUCGGUAGGGGAGACUGGAAUUCCUGGUGUAGCGGUGAAAUGCGCAGAUAUCAGGAGGAACACCGGUGGCGAAGGCGGGUCUCUGGGCAGUAACUGACGCUGAGGAGCGAAAGCGUGGGGAGCGAACAGG